AACGCUGGCGGUCUGCUUAUACCUGCAAGUCGAACGAGAAGGUUUCUUCGGAAACUAGACAGUGGCGGACGGGUGAGUAAUGUGUAGGAAAUCUGCCUUUGAGAGGGGGACAACAGUUGGAAACGACUGCUAAUACCCCAUAUGAGCUACCUUGAAAUAGGUAUCUUGAAAACUCCGGUGCUCAAAGAUGAGCCUGCAUCUGAUUAGCUUGUUGGUAGGGUAAUGGCCUACCAAGGCGACGAUCAGUAGCUGGUUUGAGAGGAUGAUCAGCCACAAUGGGACUGAGACACGGCCCAUACUCCUACGGGAGGCAGCAGUAGGGAAUUUUGCGCAAUGGGCGAAAGCCUGACGCAGCAAUACCGCGUGAAUGUUAAGCCCUUCGGGGUGUAAAGUUCUGUCAGUGGGGACGAAAUUUGACGGUACCCACAGAGGAAGCACCGGCUAACUCCGUGCCAGCAGCCGCGGUAAUACGGAGGGUGCAGGCGUUGUCCGGAAUCAUUGGGCGUAAAGAGUUCGUAGGUGGCAUGUUAAGUCUGGUGUUAAAGCCCGAAGCUCAACUUCGGUUCGGCACUGGAUACUGGCAAGCUUGAAUGUGGUAGAGGUAAAAGGAAUUCCUGGUGGUA
rnacentral:rRNA from 1 species